UGGUGAGGUAAUGGCCCACCAAGGCGACGAUCGGUAGCCGGACUGAGAGGUUGAACGGCCACAUUGGGACUGAGACACGGCCCAGACUCCUACGGGAGGCAGCAGUGGGGAAUAUUGCACAAUGGGGGAAACCCUGAUGCAGCGACGCCGCGUGGAGGAAGAAGGUCUUCGGAUUGUAAACUCCUGUUGUUGAGGAAGAUAAUGACGGUACUCAACAAGGAAGUGACGGCUAACUACGUGCCAGCAGCCGCGGUAAAACGUAGGUCACAAGCGUUGUCCGGAAUUACUGGGUGUAAAGGGAGCGCAGGCGGGAAGACAAGUUGGAAGUGAAAUCCAUGGGCUCAACCCAUGAACUGCUUUCAAAACUGUUUUUCUUGAGUAGUGCAGAGGUAGGCGGAAUUCCCGGUGUAGCGGUGGAAUGCGUAGAUAUCGGGAGGAACACCAGUGGCGAAGGCGGCCUACUGGGCACCAACUGACGCUGAGGCUCGAAAGUGUGGGUAGCAAACAGGAUUAGAUACCCUGGUAGUCCACACUGUAAACGAUGAUUACUAGGUGUUGGAGGAUUGACCCCUUCAGUGCCGCAGUUAACACAAUAAGUAAUCCACCUGGGGAGUACGACCGCAAGGUUGAAACUCAAAGGAAUUGACGGGGGCCCGCACAAGCAGUGGAGUAUGUGGUUUAAUUCGACGCAACGCGAAGAACCUUACCAAGUCUUGACAUCCUGCGACGGACAUAGAAAUAUGUUUUUCCUUCGGGACGCAGAGACAGGUGGUGCAUGGUUGUCGUCAGCUCGUGUCGUGAGAUGUUGGGUUAAGUCCCGCAACGAGCGCAACCCUUAUGGUCAGUUACUACGCAAGAGGACUCUGGCCAGACUGCCGUUGACAAAACGGAGGAAGGUGGGGAUGACGUCAAAUCAUCAUGCCCUUUAUGACUUGGGCUACACACGUACUACAAUGGCGUUAAACAAAGAGAAGCAAGACCGCGAGGUGGAGCAAAACUCAGAAACAACGUCCCAGUUCGGACUGCAGGCUGCAACUCGCCUGCACGAAGUCGGAAUUGCUAGUAAUCGCAGAUCAGCAUGCUGCGGUGAAUACGUUCCCGGGCCUUGUACACACCGCCCGUCACACCAUGAGAGCCGGGGGGACCCGAAGUCGGUAGUCUAACCGCAAGGAGGACGCCGCCGAAGGUAAAACUGGUGAUUGGGGUGAAGUCGUAACAAGGUAACCGUACUAGUACGCUGUGUG
rnacentral:rRNA from 1 species